AAGGAAACCUUCAGCAUCAGAUAGGAUCAAAAUAAUAACAUUGUAUGAAAGCAUGGCUCAGUACAGUAUAUAUUCAACUUCUAAGGUGUAUGUUUAAGUGGCUAUAUGGCCCUGACUCUGAGGAAUAGAUUUUAAAGCACCCCUUCUCAUGUUGCCAGCCUUGUUCAGAGAGAAGCUUGAACACUUCGUUGUGC